rnacentral:rRNA from 1 species
UUCGGCAGUAGCGAGGUGGUCCCACCUGACCCCAUGCCGAACUCAGAAGUGAAACGCCGUAGCGCCGAUGGUAGUGUGGGGUCUCCCCAUGCGAGAGUAGGGAACUGCCAGGC